UCAGUCGACUCCUACGGGGAGGCAGCAGUGGGGAAUAUUGCACAAUGGGGGAAACCCUGAUGCAGCCAUGCCGCGUGUGUGAAGAAGGCCUUCGGGUUGUAAAGCACUUUCAGUAGGGAGGAAGGUAGUGUAGUUAACACCUGCAUUAUUUGACGUUACCUACAGAAGAAGCACCGGCUAACUCCGUGCCAGCAGCCGCGGUAAUACGGAGGGUGCGAGCGUUAAUCGGAAUUACUGGGCGUAAAGCGCAUGCAGGUGGUUUGUUAAGUCAGAUGUGAAAGCCCGGGGCUCAACCUCGGAAUUGCAUUUGAAACUGGCAGGCUAGAGUCUUGUAGAGGGGGGUAGGAAUUUCAGGUGUAGCGGUGAAAAUGCGUAGAGAUCUGAAGGAAUACCAGUGGCGAAGGCGGCCCCCUGGACAAAGACUGACGCUCAGAUACGAAAGCGUGGGGAGCAAACAGGAUUAGAUACCCUGGUAG
rnacentral:rRNA from 1 species